rnacentral:rRNA from 1 species
GGAAUAUUGGACAAUGGGCGCAAGCCUGAUCCAGCCAUGCCGCGUGAGUGACGAAGGCCUUAGGGUUGUAAAACUCUUUCGCCGAGGACGAUAAUGACGGUACUCGGAGAAGAAGCUCCGGCUAACUUCGUGCCAGCAGCCGCGGUAAUACGAAGGGGGCUAGCGUUGUUCGGAUUUACUGGGCGUAAAGCGCGUGUAGGCGGGUCGUUAAGUUGGGGGUGAAAGCCCGGAGCUCAACUCCGGAACUGCCUUCAAAACUGGCGACCUGGAGCAAGAUAGAGGCGAGUGGAAUUCCGAGUGUAGAGGUGAAAUUCGUAGAUAUUCGGAGGAACACCUGUGGCGAAGGCGACUCGCUGGAUCUUUGCUGACGCUGAGACGCGAAAGCGUGGGGAGCAAAC